rnacentral:piRNA from 1 species
ACCAACAUUCUGCACAGCGAUCAUGAUUCCC